rnacentral:rRNA from 1 species
UACGAAGGGGGCUAGCGUUGUUCGGAAUCACUGGGCGUAAAGCGCACGUAGGCGGAUCUUUAAGUCAGGGGGUGAAAUCCCGAGGCUCAACCUCGGAACUGCCUUUGAUACUGGGGAUCUCGAGUCCGGGAGAGGUGAGUGGAACUGCGAGUGUAGAGGUGAAAUUCGUAGAUAUUCGCAAGAACACCAGUGGCGAAGGCGGCUCACUGGCCCGGAACUGACGCUGAGGUGCGAAAGCGUGGGGAGCAAACAGG